UUGUAUUUCUGUGAUGUGAUGUACGUCAACGAUCAAGUCAAAGAUGAUGCAUGAGAUGAACAGGGGUCUAAGCGGUUGAUGGCGAUUGGAUCAAGAGUUGGUCAAGGAUCGAGUCAAGGAGGCUUGGAACCAAUUCAAGAGUUGAAGACCAGUUGAUCGAUUGACGUGCAUGUGCUUGUAAUACAACCUAACUAGAAUCCAUGAUCAUCACCUAUUUAAAGUUUAGCUUUAAUUAUUGCUGCGAUUAUAACUUCCUGCAAUGUGCCGUUUGCAUGUGAUGUGAAUGAGAGUCGGGUAGAUAGGUUUACAUGUGAUGUAGCAAACCCAAUUGAGACCUAAAUUAAAACCUCCUCAAUCAAGUUGAGAGUGAAC
rnacentral:lncRNA from 1 species